AGGACGAACGCUGGCGGCGUGCCUAACACAUGCAAGUCGAACGGGGGUAGCAAUACCCUAGUGGCGAACGGGUGCGUAACACGUGAAGAACUUGUCCAUCGGCGGGGGAUAGCCGGCCCAACGGCCGGGUAAUACCGCGUACGCUUGUCGAGUGGCAUCACUUGACAAGGAAAGCAGCAAUGCACCGAUGGAGAGCUUCGCGGCCUAUCAGCUUGUUGGCGGGGUAAUGGCCCACCAAGGCAACGACGGGUAGCUGGUCUGAGAGGAUGAUCAGCCACAUUGGGACUGAGACACGGCCCAGACUCCUACGGGAGGCAGCAGUGGGGAAUAUUGCGCAAUGGGCGAAAGCCUGACGCAGCGACGCCGCGUGUGGGAUGACGGCCUUCGGGUUGUAACCACUGUCGCGAGGGACGAAAAAAUGACGGUACCUCGAAAGGAAGCACCGGCUAACUCUGUGCCAGCAGCCGC
rnacentral:rRNA from 1 species